rnacentral:rRNA from 1 species
GAGUUUGAUCAUGGCUCAGAUUGAACGCUGGCGGCAUGCCUUACACAUGCAAGUCGAACGGCAGCACGGGAGCUUGCUCCUGGUGGCGAGUGGCGAACGGGUGAGUAAUGCAUCGGAACGUAUCCUGGAGUGGGGGAUAACGUAGCGAAAGUUACGCUAAUACCGCAUAUUCUGUGAGCAGGAAAGCGGGGGACCUUCGGGCCUCGCGCUCUUGGAGCGGCCGAUGUCGGAUUAGCUAGUUGGUGAGGUAAGGGCUCACCAAGGCGACGAUCCGUAGCAGGUCUGAGAGGAUGAUCUGCCACACUGGAACUGAGACACGGUCCAGACUCCCACGGGAGGCAGCAGUGGGGAAUUUUGGACAAGUGGGGGCAACCCUGAUCCAGCCAUGCCGCGUGAGUGAAGAAGGCCUCGGUU